AUCCAGCUGAUGAGUCUUAAGUAGGACGAACCGGGCGUCCUGGAU
rnacentral:hammerhead_ribozyme from 1 species